rnacentral:lncRNA from 10 species
CCUUUAUGUAAAACUGACUUUUAUUACAAUUAAAAAAGAACAAAGACAAUUUGAUAAGUGCCUUUAAUUACAACAUACCUGCUAUUUACAUGUAAUCAUACUUUUAUAUAUAGCUUGAAUAAGUUUUAUUACAUGUAAACUAUAAGAUAUUACAAGUUAAACUCCAGUCUUUUCUGGAUAUUCAAUUGAAAUACUACUGGCAGAAACAUACGAAAACAAAUACCCAUUUCAGUUCCUCAGGUACCAUUACUGGUUGAAUGAUCAAGAUCUGGCCACAGAAGAGAAGUGGAAAUAUGCAUCAAAACAAAACUUAUUCUUAACAUGACUAACAGUAUUGUUAUUUAAACCCUAAACAUAAUUAAUAAUUGGAUCAUUAAAAACACAACUUCAAUUUAUAUAGCACCUUUCUUCCGAAGAGUUGAAAGCAUUCGUGCUUAUCUCUAUUAUUUCGUUUGUCCCCAUAACAUCUCUAUGAGGUAGGCAAUGGUUAGUAUCAUUAUCCCCAUUUUGUAUAUGGAGAAACUGAGGCACAGAGAAGUUAAAUCAUUUGCUCGAGGUCACAUAGUAAAGUCAAUGCUGGAACAGGGACCACAGCCCUGUGCUCUUGUCUCCAAAACCCAUGUUUCCCUUUACACUAAAUUGUCCCACUUGAGAAUUUAAUUCAAUAACUCUACACUUUUCCAAUAAAUAAAAAAGUGCAUUUUUUUCACCCAUAAAAAUUUUUGAAAUACUAUGAGCAAGAUACAAACAUUCUGGGAUGGAUGGUAGAUGGAUGCUACACUCUUCUAGAAAGUGCUUAUGGAAAUGUUUAUUUUAAUAUGAGGAGUUUCUUUUCCUAGUUAAAACAAAGUAGAUGUCUUUACAAGAAAUAUAUUUGAAAAAAUGCUUCUAGUCACCUACUCAAUUAUAGCUCUAGUAGCCAUAUUAUAUUAUCUACAAACCAGGUUUAUUCCUGAGUUUAAAAAGAAGAAAAUAUCUAAAUAAUAAGUUAAAUCUUUGAGAUAAUUUUUCUCAUUUACACACAUUUACUCAAGAGACUCAGAGUGGCAGAUAGGGAAUUGGGCCAACACAUUUCUCAGAGAGACAUGAGAACUGAGACACACAGGGGCAGCAAGUCUGAAUUUUGCUCUCAUCUCUGCUCCCUUCGCCCCACUAGAGUCAACUAUACGGUUGAUACUCGAAGCAAAUAAAAAGAUAAUUUUUAAAAAGUGUCAAGGUCGCAAGCAUACUAGAAUGCUCACAAAUGUUUGCUGACUUGAACGUAAGGUUCAGCUUUCCUGAUGCUUUUCACAUUGCUUCUCCUCAAGACAUGAGCAUUGCUGCAGGCAUGGCCAUCUUCCAGGACAUGGGCGGGUAGUGGCACAUAGGAAUUAAAUCCUAGCAUGGCUCCAGGAAAAACAAGACAAGUACUAUACUCAAAAAGUAAAGUUAAAAAAAGCAAGCAUGCUUAAGGGAUGGGUCAUGAACACCACAUCAGGUUCAUUUAUGAGUCUUAUAUUAAAAAUACAUAGAAGCUUGUCAAAGGAAUGCUCAAAAUCCUCAACCCAUAGACUCAGGCUUUUGGUCCCAGCCUCUUCUUCCAGAGAAGGGCACUGCUGUCUUUCAGGGAAGCCUUCACUACCUAAAUGAGGAGCUAAAGAUUAAAAAAAAAAUUCUCUUUAAGCUUAAGAAAAGGAAAUAGUUUGCUUUAAACUCAUGGUUUCCAACUUGUUGAGUUAAAAACAAACCAAACCAAACCAGGACAUGACAACAAGAUAGUUCUGAACUGUAGGCUCUAGGGAGCAACUGGUCCUUCUUUUAGCUUUAACUGUGUCCUAUUUAGAGUGCCUAACAGGUAUACUAGGGGAACUUUAAAAAACUAAAUGUAUAAAGAGAAUGAGCAGAGAUAUCUGUUCUGCUAAUUUUGAAAAAAAGUUACACUCUAAAAUGUCCAUUCAAAGAAUUAACUGUGAUGACUUACAGCAAAGUUUUACAAAACCAAAUGAAACACCCUGGCUCCUGAAGUAUGUAGAAAAUGGGAACUUCAGCAGCUGCACCUCCAAUUCACCUAUCCUAGGACCUAGAAGGUGCUUGGUUUCUCACUCCAAAGUCAGGCAGUUUGCUAUAAAUGGCCAAGUUAUUCUCCUUAUCUGGUAGCUCUACCUUUGCAUGCUGAAGCACUCACAGUUUUCUUAGGUCCUGGGGGAUCAGAGCAAACUGGCUGUAACUUGACAUCAUCCUUAGGCACUGUUUCCUGGGGGAGAGGGUGCAAUGGCUUCAUGGUGAAAACAUUUUACACUCAAUUUACUUUAAAAAGGUUUUUUUUUUGUUUUUUGUCAUGAAUUAUUUUUUAAUAUUUUUGAGUAAGGGGAGUACUUUAAUACUGAUUGGGCCCAUGUAAUAGACAAUAUGUCACUUUUGGUGUAACUAUUUUUAUGAGGAAAAAACAUUAACAAUGAAAUGCCAAUUCCUAUUUAUAACAGACCUUUUUUGUUUAGAUAUAUUUCAAGUUUCCCCAGAAAAUAUGAGGCAUGUUAAUACAACACAAUUAUUUAAAAGGUAACAACAUUAAAACAUUUUACUGCUGCCAAUGUAACAUACAGACAUCUGAGAAAUGACAAUUAUCAACCUUUGUAAUACAUGAUUACGCAAGGUGAUAUGAGACAACCCAAGGGUAGCACAUUUUAAAAAAUACCCACAGUAUAUAACUGGCAAGCCAAAAAAACUUCCUGUAUUAACAGAAAUGAUUACUGAAUUGAACGCUUUUUAAAAAAUGUCUUUUAAGCAAAAAUUGUAUUUCUCUUUUCAUGUUACAUUAAGAAUUUGGAAUAUUAUUUUUCAGUUAAGUCAAAGAAGAACUUGAAAAAAAUAAUGACAUACUUCACAAAUAGUAGAGACUAGAUGUAAACACAGACCUAAAAAUGAGCAGUAGGAUAAAAAAAACCAUGAAUGUUUGUUCUCUUCUGGACCAUGAUUUUAAAUUUUAAUUUGGUAAUUCCAGAUAAAGAUUCUAAUUUAUCAUGGUUUCUGGACUGAUCUCUUUAAGUUAAACACUUUCAGUCUAAGUGUGUUCAACUGGCCUAAAGCCACUGUCAGGAAAAAUGUAUUUAGGAAAAUAUACAACACAGGGCAAGAAAAUACUACUGUAGAAUAAGGAAUUUAGAUUUCACUGCAAAUAAAGCCAUAUUUGAUAUUAAAGACACAUGUUCCUAUUUUCACAUCAGUCAUUUAUUAACACCAAACAUUAUACUUUAACUUUUCCCCAUUACACAGUACAAUAAGCCUGUCAAGAUUUCCAGGAAGUAAUCAUCAGUACCUACUGUGCUUCCAGCAGCCAAAGCUAAGCUGGCUGGGUACCAGAAAUCAACACCUUCAGGAGAAUGGCAUCACAAGAUUGCAUGGACUCAUAUUAACUAUUACAAGGGGCACUGGAAAAAAAGGUCAUUUGCUCAUUUACAAAAUCCUAAUUGAACUAAAGCUCUGUAAUUAUAGCCAUGGUAUCAGACCAGCUUUUUCGCACAUCCUAUCACAUCGCUGCCUGCUGAUGUUUUACACUGCCUAUAAAGUCUCAUAAUUUUAAAAGGGAAUGAAACAGAAUGCCACAGGUGACCGACCUCUGCUCCUGCUACUUGGGAGUCACGUUGUCUUGGCUUCGUCCUGGCUCAAGGUUACUAGUCUCUUGCUGCUUUGGGCCAAAUCUCUUAUCUCUUUACAUUUCCUCCUCUCAGGCUGAGUCAAAAGUAAGUCACAUGUAUAACAAAACUGUCUUAAAAUACCACUGUUUUUCAGCCAAGAGAAUUACGGAUGCAAUUUAAAGUCUAAAUGUAUUAAUUGGAAAAAUUAAAUUAGAGCAACUCAAGGUUUUCCUGUAAUUACCAAAUGAAACUGAUUGAAAAACUGUUCCUUCUAAUUCUGCUUUUCCAACAAAAGUUCAUCACACUAGCAGGAUAAACAUUCAAAAUACAUAAUAGAACAUAUCCUAAUUAAGCACCAGAGUUGUGUCAGAGCCAAGUAUAUACACACACACACGUAUACGUGUGUGUGUGUGUGUGUGUGUGUGUAGUUUAUUACUGGUUAAGUAAAUGCUCUAAUUAGCAAAAAUCAUGAGAAAUAUAUACAGUGAUAUAAUGCGGUUAAAUUUUAGUUCUCUGUGUUAACUACUUACUGUUAAUUUAGUACUCAAUUAGAAUUAACUCUGGGAUUUUGAGGGCAGAUAAAUCAGUAAUUAGCCUUUAUCCCAGAAAGAAUAGUGGUAGCUUCAAAAGCUUCAACAGACCUAAUGAUGUAAUUUAUUCAGGACAGAAAAAAAAAUAUGUAGCCAACAUUCUUGCAAGAAUUACUUUCUUAUGGAAUUUAAGAUUUCCUCAAAUAUUUUCUUUUCUAUAUAGCGUUUUGUUCUUGUGUAGUUAUCUGCCUAGGAUACAGACAGGAUAUUGAGACUAUUUCAGAAAGUAGACACACUAAAAACAUUUGACAAAUUAAAAAAAUUUUGCAUAAAACAGGUUACCCUUUCCUGCUGACUAUACUUAAGAAAUACCAAAGUAGCAUACAAAAUGCUUCUAAACUUUCAAAAUAUCUGAAUAAAAACAAAGAUCCUACUUUUAACUGAGAUAGAUUUAUAAUUCUUACUUACAAGAUAAAAAAAUUUCCUAAAAUUUAUUUUUAAAUUUCACAUAACCUGCUAUAAUUCGCUGUAAAAAAUGGAUGUCAAAAUAGAAUUUUAAAUAUACAAAUUGUUUUUGAUAACUACCUUUCAUACAUUUUAUUUAAACUGUAGCAUUAGCUCAAGAUGAAACUUUUUAAAAGAAACCAUAGGCUUUUGUCCAACUCAAAGAUUCAAGCCCAGAUUCUGAACAAAGUAAAUGUGAUGAAAUUUAUGAAAAACUAUACUGUACAGUCAAAACAGUGAUGGUGCCUCAGUAAAUAACUUCAGUAAAAUAUCCAGUGCUCCAAAUAGCUGAGCCAUCUUUCUAAGGUUCACUCUGCUUCUCUCCCCCAGCCCUCAUGGCCUGUGCUACCAUCUAUUCUUUUAGCGUUUAUGCUGGAGGGCCUUAUAGUUCCUUUAAAAGUACACUGAAAAUACUUUAUAUCACAGCUUAUUCUAACCACUGGUUCUCAAAUUAAAAGGUAUAUUUCAGUGCAUAUUUCAUAGCCACAUUGCAGAACUAAUAUUUGAAAACUCUUGGGGGAAAUUUUGGUAACAAAAUUGCAAAAUGACAUGAUUAUUUAUGAGCUUUCUAUAAAAAGUUUUUUUUUUUUUUUUUUUUUUACUUUAGAGAUCAUACCUACUUUCCUGCCUUUUUG